AUUGAACGCUGGCGGCGUGCUUAACACAUGCAAGUCGUGCGGUAACAGGCGUAGCAAUACGUGCUGACGAGCGGCGAACGGGUGCGUAAUACAUGGGAAUCUGCCCUUUAGUGGGGAAUAACCCGGCGAAAGCCGGGCUAAUGCCGCAUAAGAUCUUCGGAUGAAAGCGGGGGAUCGUAAGACCUCGCGCUGAUGGAUGAGCCCAUGUCGGAUUAGCUAGNGGUGAGGUAACGGCUCACCAAGGCGACGAUCCGUAGCUGGUCUGAGAGGACGGCCAGCCACACUGGGACUGAGACACGGCCCAGACUCCUACGGGAGGCAGCAGUGGGGAAUAUUGGACAAUGGGCGAAAGCCUGAUCCAGCGACGCCGCGUGUGUGAAGAAGGCCU
rnacentral:rRNA from 1 species